rnacentral:rRNA from 1 species
CGGGAGGCCUAACACAUGCAAGCCGAGCGGUAGAGAUCGUUUCGGGAUCUUGAGAGCGGCGUACGGGUGCGGAACACGUGUGCAACCUGCCUUUAUCAGGGGGAUAGCCUUUCGAAAGGAAGAUUAAUACCCCAUAAUAUAAGAGACGGCAUCGUUUUUUAUUGAAAACUCCGGUGGAUAGAGAUGGGCACGCGCAAGAUUAGAUAGUUGGUGAGGUAACGGCUCACCAAGUCAACGAUCUUUAGGGGGCCUGAGAGGGUGAUCCCCCACACUGGUACUGAGACACGGACCAGACUCCUACGGGAGGCAGCAGUGAGGAAUAUUGGACAAUGGGUGCGAGCCUGAUCCAGCCAUCCCGCGUGAAGGACGACGGCCCUAUGGGUUGUAAACUUCUUUUGUAUAGGGAUAAACCUACCCUCGUGAGGGUAGCUGAAGGUACUAUACGAAUAAGCACCGGCUAACUCCGUGCCAGCAGCCGCGGUAAUACGGAGGGUGCAAGCGUUAUCCGGAUUUAUUGGGUUUAAAGGGUCCGUAGGCUGAUUUGUAACUCAAUGGUGAAAUCUCACAACUUAAGUGUGAAACUGCCCUUGAUACUGCAGGUCUUGAUUGUUGUUGAAGUAGCUGGAAGAAAUAGCGUAGCGGUGGUUAUGCAUCGUAUAUUACUUAGAACAACAA